rnacentral:rRNA from 1 species
GACGAACGCUGGCGGCGUGCUUAACACAUGCAAGUCGAACGGAAAGGCUCCAGCUUGCUGGAGUACUCGAGUGGCGAACGGGUGAGUAACACGUGGGUAAUCUGCCCUGCACUCUGGGAUAAGCCUGGGAAACUGGGUCUAAUACUGGAUAUGACCUUUCUCCUUAUGGGGUUUGGUGGAAAGUUUUUCGGUGUAGGAUGAGCCCGCGGCCUAUCAGCUUGUUGGUGGGGUGAUGGCCUACCAAGGCGACGCCGGGUAGCCGGCCUGAGAGGGUGAACGGCCACAUUGGGACUGAGGUACGGCCCAGACUCCUACGGGAGGCAGUAGUGGGGAAUAUUGCACAAUGGGCGGAAGCCUGAUGCAGCGACGCCGCGGGAGGGAUGACGGCCUUCGGGUUGUAAACCUCUUUCGGCAGGGACGAAGCGUAAGUGACGGUACCUGAAGAAGAAGCACCGGCUAACUAUGUG